AUUGAACGCUGGCGGCAGGCCUAACACAUGCAAGUCGAACGAGUGGCGGACGGGUGAGUAAUGUCUGGGAAACUGCCUGAUGGAGGGGGAUAACUACUGGAAACGGUAGCUAAUACCGCAUACCAUCAUAUGUGCCCAGAUGGGAUUAGCUAGUAGGUGGGGUAAAGGCUCACCUAGGCGACGAUCCCUAGCUGGUCUGAGAGGAUGACCAGCCACACUGGAACUGAGACACGGCCCAGACUCCUACGGGAGGCAGCAGUGGGGAAUAUUGCACAAUGGGCGCAAGCCUGAUGCAGCCAUGCCGCGUGUAUGAAGAAGGCCUUCGGGUUGUAAAGUACUUUCAGCCGGGAGGCGUUACCCGCAGAAGAAGCACCGGCUAACUCCGUGCCAGCAGCCGCGGUAAUAC
rnacentral:rRNA from 1 species